AUUGAACGCUGGCGGCAUGCCUUACACAUGCAAGUCGAACGGUAACAGGUCUUCGGAUGCUGCCGAGUGGCGAACGGGUGAGUAAUACAUCGGAACGUGCCCGAUCGUGGGGGAUAACGAAGCGAAAGCUUUGCUAAUACCGCAUAAGAUCUACGGAUGAAAGCAGGGGACCGCAAGGCCUUGCGCGAACGGAGCGGCCGAUGGCAGAUUAGGUAGUUGGUGGGAUAAAAGCUUACCAAGCCGACGAUCUGUAGCUGGUCUGAGAGGACGACCAGCCACACUGGGACUGAGACACGGCCCAGACUCCUACGGGAGGCAGCAGUGGGGAAUUUUGGACAAUGGGCGAAAGCCUGAUCCAGCCAUGCCGCGUGCAGGAUGAAGGCCUUCGGGUUGUAAACUGCUUUUGUACGGAACGAAAAGACUCUGGUUAAUACCUGGGGUCCAUGACGGUACCGUAAGAAUAAGCACCGGCUAACUACGUG
rnacentral:rRNA from 1 species